CGGCUGACGAGCUCCACCUGCCCGGGUUUGUUGUUCGGAGUUUGCUCUCCUAGGCAGAUUGCCUACCACGGCUGACGAGCUCCACCUGCCCGGGUUUGUUGUUCGGAGUUUGCUCUCCUAGGUGAAUUGCCUACCACGGCUAACGACCUCCACCUGCCCGGGUUUGUUUAGAGUUUGCUCUCCUAGGUGAAUUGCCUACCACGGCUAACGACCUCCACCUGCCCGGGUUUGUUUAGAGUUUGCUCUCCUAGGUGAAUUGCCUACCACGGCUAACGAGCUCCACCUGCCCGGGUUUGUUUAGAGUUUGCUCUCCUAGGUGAAUUGCCUACCACGGCUAACGACCUCCACCUGCCCGGGUUUGUUUAGAGUUUGCUCUCCUAGGUGAAUUGCCUACCACGGCUGACGAGCUCCACCUGCCCGGGUUUAUUGUUCGGAGUUUGCUCUCCUAGGUGAAUUGCCUCCCACGGCUAACGACCUCCACCUGCCCGGGUUUGUAUAGAGUUUGCUCUCCUAGGUGAAUUGCCUACCACGGCUAACGAGCCUCACCUGCCCGGGUUUGUAUAGAGUUUGCUCUCCUAGGUGAAUUGCCUACCACGGCUAACGAGCCUCACCUGCCCGGGUUUGUAUAGAGUUUG